rnacentral:rRNA from 1 species
UACGUAGGUGGCAAGCGUUGUCCGGAUUUACUGGGCGUAAAGAGCGCGCAGGCGGUCGUUCAAGUCGCGUGUGAAAGCCCCCGGCUCAACUGGGGAGGGUCACGCGAUACUGAUCGACUCGAAGGCAGGAGAGGGAAGUGGAAUUCCCGGUGUAGUGGUGAAAUGCGUAGAUAUCGGGAGGAACACCAGUGGCGAAGGCAGCUCGCUGGGACGGUACUGACGCUGAGGCGCGAAAGCGUGGGGAGCAAACAGG